rnacentral:lncRNA from 1 species
UCCAAGUCUAUAUUGACUAUUUGGCAACUUAUUAAGCUUGCAGCCAGCCUGGGCAACCCCUUUAUCUUCCUUGNAGAUCACUGCUGGGCCACUCUCCACACCCUACUUCUGCUGCUUCUGUUCUCNCACUGGCUUUGCCAUGACAACCCCUUUAGGGAUCGCGCUGCUGUUCGGAUCUCUCCCGCCACUGACGAAUCGCACAAUCGCACUUCNCAAAAAUAGUCACUGCUACCUUCAGGGGAUCCCAGAAAGGACAAUCGUGGAUUUCUCGUUCCAGGUGCUGGAGGGUGACUUUCGUGAUGUGGAAGUUGCGGUUAGCAGAUCCGAUUACCUAGAUUUCUACCAUGCAAAACAAACGCCUGCUGGAAAUGUUAGCGUUGCUUCUACAAAACGUGAGAACUACAGGUUUUGUUUCUUUAACUCCAAGCCCAGCGAUGUCAAGANAGUACAGUUUAUCGUUGAUGUUCGUGAAAUUCCAGUAGAGGAUGGUCCGAUAGAAGAGGACCCAAAUUUUCCUUGCCCCUCCAUUUCUAUCAACGCAGGACCGCAGAUCAAAAAAGUACUGGCUACUGUACUGCAGUUNCAAGCUUCUGUCAACCAAACACUGCAAAGAUUUGAAGAGAAAAUCUCCAGGUUAGAGGACGCCAUAUGCAAAAGCAAAACUGGCAAUAGGCCAUCUGAUCAGACACUGACUUGA